CCUUUACUAUAGCUUGACACUGAACAUUGAGCCUUGAUGUGUAGGAUAGGUGGGAGGCUUUGAAGCGUGGACGCCAGUCUGCGUGGAGCCAACCUUGAAAUACCACCCUUUAAUGUUUGAUGUUCUAACGUUGGCCCCUGACCGGGGUUGCGGACAGUGUCUGGUGGGUAGUUUGACUGGGGCGGUCUCCUCCCAAAGCGUAACGGAGGAGCACGAAGGUUAGCUAAUCCUGGUCGGACAUCAGGAGGUUAGUGCAAUGGCAUAAGCUAGCUUGACUGCGAGCGUGACGGCGCGAGCAGGUGCGAAAGCAGGUCAUAGUGAUCCGGUGGUUCUGAAUGGAAGGGCCAUCGCUCAACGGAUAAAAGGUACUCCGGGGAUAACAGGCUGAUACCGCCCAAGAGUUCAUAUCGACGGCGGUGUUUGGCACCUCGAUGUCGGCUCAUCACAUCCUGGGGCUGAAGUAGGUCCCAAGGGUAUGGCUGUUCGCCAUUUAAAGUGGUACGCGAGCUGGGUUUAGAACGUCGUGAGACAGUUCGGUCCCUAUCUGCCGUGGGCGCUGGAGAAUUGAGGGGGGCUGCUCCUAGUACGAGAGGACCGGAGUGGACGCAUCACUGGUGUUCGGGUUGUCAUGCCAAUGGCACUGCCCGGUAGCUAAAUGCGGAAGAGAUAAGUGCUGAAAGCAUCUAAGCACGAAACUUGCCCCGAGAUGAGUUCUCCCUGAGACUAUAAGUCUCCUGAAGGAACGUUGAAGACGACGACGUUGAUAGGCCGGGUGUGUAAGCGCAGCGAUGCGUUGAGCUAACCGGUACUAAUGAACCGUGAGGCUUAACCUUACAACGCCGAAG
rnacentral:rRNA from 1 species